GAUGAAGAACGCAGCGAAAUGCGAUACUUGGUGUGAAUUGCAGAAUCCCGUGAACCAUCGAGUCUUUGAACGCAAGUUGCGCCCGAAGCCAUUAGGCCGAGGGCACACCUGCCUGGGCGUCACACGUCGUUGCCCCCCCAUCUACUCCUUCGGGAUUGCGGGGGGCGGAUGAUGGCCUCCCGUGCGCCUCGCCGCGCGGUUGGCAUAAAUGCCAAGUCCUCGGCGACGCACGCCACGACAAUCGGUGGUUGCGAAACCUCGGUUGCCCGUCGUGUGCGGUCGUCGCGCAUCGAGGGCUCGAAAAAAUUGCCGGGUUCCGGCUCGGCUUUCAACGCGACCCCAGGUCAGGCGGGGUUACCCGCUGAAUUUAAGCAUAUCAAUAAGCGGAGGA
rnacentral:misc_RNA from 1 species